rnacentral:tRNA from 1 species
GCUGUGGCUAGCUCAUUUGGUUAGAGCAUGGUGCUGACAAUGCCAAGGUUGCAGGUUCAAUCCCUGCAAGCGACAGCU